CCUACGGGCGGCUGCAGUGGGGAGGCUUCCACAAUGGACGAAAGUCUGAUGGAGCGACGCCGCGUGCGGGAUGAAGGCCGUGAGGUCGUAAACCGCUGUCAGCAGGGAAGAAUGCCCGAAUGGCGAAUUCGGGAGGGACGGUACCUGCAGAGGAAGCCCCGGCUAACUCCGUGCCAGCAGCCGCGGUAAUACGGAGGGGGCAAACGUUGUUCGGAAUUACUGGGCGUAAAGGGUGCGUAGGCGGUUCGGCCAGUCUGAUGUGAAAGCCCAUUGCUCAACAAUGGAUAUGCAUUGGAAACUACCGAGCUCGAGAGCGGAAGAGGCAGGUGGAAUUCCUGGUGUAGCGGUGGAAUGCGUAGAUAUCAGGAAGAACACUCGUGGCGAAGGCGGCCUGCUGGUCCGUUUCUGACGCUGAGGCACGAAAGCCAGGGGAGCGAACGGGCUUAGAUACCCCAGUAGUC
rnacentral:rRNA from 1 species